rnacentral:rRNA from 1 species
UACGAAGGGUGCAAGCGUUACUCGGAAUUACUGGGCGUAAAGCGUGCGUAGGUGGUUUGUUAAGUCUGUUGUGAAAGCCCCGGGCUCAACCUGGGAAUGGCAAUGGAUACUGGCAAGCUAGAGUGCGGUAGAGGGUAGUGGAAUUCCCGGUGUAGCGGUGAAAUGCGUAGAGAUCGGGAGGAACACCAGUAGCGAAGGCGGCUACCUGGACCAGCACUGACACUGAGGCACGAAAGCGUGGGGAGCAAACAGG